AAGGAGUCGUCCAUUAGAGCGAGCGUUUGGGUGUAAAACCCGCACGCGUAAUGAAAGUGAAAUUAGGUGAGAGCUUCGGCGCAUCAUCGACCGAUCCUGAAGUUUACGGAUGGAUUUGAGUAAGAGUUUUAACGGACGGACCCGAAAGACAGUGAACUAUGCUUGAAUAGGGUGAAGCCAGAGGAAACUCUGGUGGAGGCUCGCAGCGAUUCUGACGUGCAAAUCGAUCGUCAAAUUUGGGCAUGGGGGCGAAAGACUAAUCGAACUAUCUAGUAGCUGGUUCCCGC
rnacentral:misc_RNA from 1 species